rnacentral:rRNA from 1 species
UGAAGGACGCAGCAAAAUGCGAUACUUGGUGUGAAUUGCAGAAUCCCGUGAACCAUCGAGUUUUUGAACGCAAGUUGCGCCCGAAGCCAUCCGGCCGAGGGCACGUCUGCCUGGGCGUCACGCAUC